AUACGGAGGGUGCAAGCGUUACUCGGAAUCACUGGGCGUAAAGCGCGCGCAGGCGGUCUUUUAAGUUGGAUGUGAAAGCCUACGGCUCAACCGUAGAACUGCAUCCAAAACUAUUAGACUAGAGUGUGGGAGAGAAAGAUGGAAUUAGUUGUGUAGGGGUAAAAUCCGUAGAGAUAACUAGGAAUACCAAAAGCGAAGGCAAUCUUCUGGAACACUACUGACGCUGAGGCGCGAAAGCGUGGGGAGCAAACAGGAUUAGAAACCCCAGUAGUCC
rnacentral:rRNA from 1 species